AGCUUGCUCCUGGAUUCAGCGGCGGACGGGUGAGUAAUGCCUAGGAAUCUGCCUGGUAGUGGGGGAUAACGUCCGGAAACGGGCGCUAAUACCGCAUACGUCCUGAGGGAGAAAGUGGGGGAUCUUCGGACCUCACGCUAUCAGAUGAGCCUAGGUCGGAUUAGCUAGUUGGUGGGGUAAAGGCCUACCAAGGCGACGAUCCGUAACUGGUCUGAGAGGAUGAUCAGUCACACUGGAACUGAGACACGGUCCAGACUCCUACGGGAGGCAGCAGUGGGGAAUAUUGGACAAUGGGCGAAAGCCUGAUCCAGCCAUGCCGCGUGUGUGAAGAAGGUCUUCGGAUUGUAAAGCACUUUAAGUUGGGAGGAAGGGCAGUAAGUUAAUACCUUGCUGUUUUGACGUUACCAACAGAAUAAGCACCGGCUAACUUCGUGCCAGCAGCCGCGGUAAUACGAAGGGUGCAAGCGUUAAUCGGAAUUACUGGGCGUAAAGCGCGCGUAGGU
rnacentral:rRNA from 1 species